rnacentral:rRNA from 1 species
UACGUAGGGUGCGAGCGUUGUCCGGAAUUACUGGGCGUAAAGAGCUCGUAGGUGGUUUGUCGCGUUGUUCGUGAAAACCUGAGGCUUGACCUUGGGCGUGCGGGCGAUACGGGCAGACUGGAGUACUGCAGGGGAGACUGGAAUUCCUGGUGUAGCGGUGGAAUGCGCAGAUAUCAGGAGGAACACCGGUGGCGAAGGCGGGUCUCUGGGCAGUAACUGACGCUGAGGAGCGAAAGCGUGGGGAGCGAACAGG